rnacentral:tRNA from 1 species
CUGGGUGUGGCGCAGUUUGGUAGCGCGCUACCUUGGGGUGGUAGAGGCCGCAGGUUCAAGUCCUGUCACUCAGACCA